GACGUAGGGGCGCGAGCGUUGUCCGGAUUUAUUGGGCGUAAAGAGCUCGUAGGCGGUUUGUCGCGUCGUUCGUGAAAACUCACAGCUUAACUGUGAGCUUGCGGUCGAUACGGGCAGGCUAGAGUUCGGUAGGGGAGACUGGAAUUCCUGGUGUAGCGGUGAAAUGCGCAGAUAUCAGGAGGAACACCGGUGGCGAAGGCGGGUCUCUGGGCCGAUACUGACGCUGAGGAGCGAAAGCGUGGGGAGCGAACAGG
rnacentral:rRNA from 1 species